rnacentral:rRNA from 1 species
UACGGAGGUCCCAAGCGUUGUUCGGAAUUACUGGGCGUAAAGGGAGCGCAGGCGGAUAGUUAAGUCUAAAGUGGAAUCCCGGGGCUCAACCUCGGAACUGCUUCGGAUACUGGCUGUCUUGAGUUCGUGAGAGGAAAGCGGAAUUCAGGGUGUAGCGGUGAAAUGCUUAGAUAUCCUGAGGAACACCGAUGGCGAAAGCAGCUUUCUGGCGCGAUACUGACGCUGAGGCUCGAAAGCGUGGGGAGCGAACGGG